rnacentral:sRNA from 1 species
UACGCGAUGCCGAAUUCGGGUCGCGGAGACAAUCACUCGCUGAGAUUCAGGAGAAACACAUGGCU